rnacentral:rRNA from 1 species
UACGGAGGGUGCGAGCGUUGUCCGGAAUCACUGGGCGUAAAGGGCGCGUAGGCGGCCUGAUAAGUAGGGGGUGAAAUCCUGCGGCUUAACCGCAGGGCUGCCUUCUAAACUGUCAGGCUCGAGCACAGUAGAGGCAGGUGGAAUUCCGGGUGUAGCGGUGGAAUGCGUAGAGAUCCGGAAGAACACCGGUGGCGAAGGCGGCCUGCGUGGGCAGUGGCUGACACUGAGGCGCGACGAGCGUGG